rnacentral:rRNA from 1 species
AGGGUUUGAUUCUGGCUCAGAUUGAACGCUGGCGGUAUGCUUAACACAUGCAAGUCGAACGGAAACGAUACUAGCUUGCUAGUAGGCGUCGAGUGGCGGACGGGUGAGUAACGCGUAGGAAUCUGCCUGAUAGUGGGGGAUAGCCCGAAGAAAUUCGGAUUAAUACCGCAUAAUCUAUUCGUAGUAAAGUGGGGGACUUUCGAGCCUCACGCUAUCAGAUGAGCCUGCGUAAGAUUAGCUAGUUGGUAGGGUAAAAGCCUACCAAGGCAACGAUCUUUAGCUGGUCUGAGAGGAUGAUCAGCCACAUCGGGACUGAGACGCGGCCCGAACUCCUACGGGAGGCAGCAGUGGGGAAUAUUGGACAAUGGGGGCAACCCUGAUCCAGCAAUACCGCGUGUGUGAAGAAGGCCUGAGGGUUGUAAAGCACUUUCAAUUGUGAAGAAAAGUUAACGGUUAAUAACCGUUAGCCUUGACGUUAACUUUAGAAGAAGCACCGGCUAACUCCGUGCCAGCAGCCGCGGUAA